CCCUUUGAUACUCUGGGCGGCACGCGCGCUACACUGGUUUAUAUAACGUGUAAUUUGGACGAUAGUCUGUAUAAAUAACUAAUAUAAAACCGUGAAUGGGAUAGUUUAUUGCAACUUACAAACUUUAACUAGGAAUCCCUUGUAGAAGUAGUGAAUUAUACUGCUUCGAAUACGUCCCUGCCGAUUGUACACACCGCCCGUCGUUUCUUCCGACUGGUACUCAUUGUGAAUUGCGAGGAGAUUCUGUCAAAUCGUUGUAAAUGCUGGGUAUUGGAGGAAGAAAAAGUCGUAACA
rnacentral:rRNA from 1 species